rnacentral:rRNA from 1 species
UACGUAGGGGGCAAGCGUUGUCCGGAAUUAUUGGGCGUAAAGGGCGCGUAGGCGGCUCGGCACGUCCGUUGUGAAAUCGCCCGGCUCAACUGGGCGGGGUCAGCGGAUACGGCCGAGCUUGAGCAAGCUAGGGGGCAAUGGAAUUCCCGGUGUAGUGGUGGAAUGCGUAGAUAUCUGGAGGAAUACCGGUGGCGAAGGCGGCAUCCUGGACCGGCAUUGACGCUGAGGAGCGAAAGCCAGGGGAGCAAACGGG